AGGUGGAGAGGCUGAACAAAAACCUGACUGAACAUCAGAAGAUUAUUCUCUGAUGUUCUUAGGCUGACCUUAUGGUGGCAGUGUUGACUAAGAGCAAUAUAUUGGUAAAUCAGAAGCUGAUUCCAUUAGUUUGUCCAAUAUUAAUUUUCCAACAUACAGCAUUUGUUUAUAAUUGAAACCCAUCAAGUUUAAGUUAUAUUUCUCUUAUAAAUUCCCUUAAAUCAGUCACUUUAUACAAUUGCACCUGAAUUAACUUUCAGAAAUUAAACUUUCUGUACCACAGAUACAACCUAUCAGGAACAUCCUUAAACAGAGGGCAUUAUUACUGCAUAGAAAGUUAAAGAAAUACUAAGUCAAACAAGCAAUUAAAACAUUGUUUUUGCACAUAAUCAAUGCAAAACGUCACACAUUUAUUAUCAACUCCAGGAAGAAAUGGUUCCCCAACAUUUUUCAUGCCCAUCUCAGUCUCAAGAGCUGAACCUUACAGAAAUUAGAGAGAAAUGAUUAGGAGAAGAAUCAGGACAAUCUGUGAUUGUGCAAAGAAGGACAGUCUAAAAAUAGAUCUAAUUUUAAAAAUGAGAUUAAUGUUUCAUAAUCAAAUGUAUUCUUUUGUCUUCAUGUCAUUACUCCUUUCACAGUUUGCAAAAUAUUCAUCACUCAAUACACAGACACAGGUACAGGUCAGUAAUACAGUCUUGCAUCAAAAUCUCUGAUAAUGUUUGAGAAUAUAUAUGCAAAGUCAUGUAUAAUGAGUUUCAUUCGUCCCUUGAGGUGGAGUCAAUGCAAAUCUCUUUCCUCUCCAACCUACUUAUCCGGCUGCUGGAAGCAGAGCAAAGAACAGAGCGCAGUCUGGUUAAAAUGAUGAUUUGUAAGACAGGUCUUCUGCUUUUGGCCUUUUGCUUGGCAGGUGUUGGUGGUCAGACUCUGACUGAAUCUGAACCAGUGCUUAAAAGGCCAGGAGAAUCUCACACCCUGACCUGUACACUCUCUGUUGACAAAUUUGGAGACUAUUGGAUGAACUGGGUCAGAGAAGCACCUGGGAAAGGAUUGGAAUGGGUUGCAAUUAUCAGUUUUUGGGCUGGAAGCGAAAAACACUACUCUCAGUCAGUUCGAGGUCGGUUCACCAUCUCCAGAGACAACAGCAAACAGCAGGUGUUUCUGCAGAUGAACAGCCUGAAAACUGAAGAUUCAGCUGUUUAUUACUGCGCUCGAAGUGCACAGUGAUCAAAGUUGGUUUGGUAGCUGUACAAAAAGAUGCAGCAACAAGUCAACAAACCUCAAACCUGAUGUCUAA